rfam:Trichobilharzia regenti genome assembly, scaffold: TRE_scaffold0002069
GUACUGCUGAAUAGUCCCAAACUAGGACGAAACAGAUGUCAAGUAC